AUUUAAUUGGGGCUGGCUUAUGUCAUCAUUGUGGGAAGCAUGGCGGCAUGCAGGGAGACAUGGUGUUGGAGAAGGAGUGGAGAGUUCUACAUCUGGAUUUGCAGGCAGCAGGAAGAGACUAGUUUUCAGGGUUGCUUCCCUUCUUCUUCUCACCGAAGAGGGCGAGAUCAGAAAGAUCAUGGCAGAUGCUCUGGCACUCAGGGCUCACAUUGAACUUGGAGCUCAUGAACUACACCUGUUCUGCCAGCCCCUGGCAUACGCCUGUCUCUGCCUGCAAGCACUGGACCACAGACAUGCGCUUGACCAUCAGACUUUUCCCAUGAGCGAGAAGGACCCAGACUCCACACUCCACUGAGCCACCUCUUCUCUUCCAUUCCUCAUGGGAGCCUCAAAAGACUCGAGUGCUAAGAUAUCAAAUAAAAUAAGACGGUUAAAGAGAAGGUGGAUAUGGGCCACUGUCAUCCUGGUAUUUGUGGAAACCAGAGGGUAAGGGAUCCUGGAGAGCUGGAGUUACAGGUGGUGUGAGCUGACAGCAAUCAUGUAACAUGUCUGGUUAUGAUGGACUAGGCACAGAACCAGAGUGGUCUGUAUCCCUGAGCUGCUAAGAGAACUAUGAUUCGGCUUCUGUUAACCAAGCACCAGCUUGAACUAUGAAUAAAACUGUAUUGCUUUAAAGGAC
ensembl:lncRNA